GACGAACGCUGGCGGCGUGCUUAACACAUGCAAGUCGAACGGGAUUUAGUAGACAGAAGCCUCGGCUAAAGAUUACUAAUGAGAGUGGCGAACGGGUGAGUAACGCGUGAGCAACCUGCCUAUGACAGUGGGAUAGCCUCGGGAAACCGGGAUUAAUACCGCAUAAAAUCGUAGAAACACAUGUUUUAACGGUCAAAGAUUUAUCGGUCAUAGAUGGGCUCGCGUCUGAUUAGCUAGUUGGUGAGAUAACAGCCCACCAAGGCGACGAUCAGUAGCCGGUAUGAGAGGAUGAACGGCCACAUUGGAACUGAGACACGGUCCAAACUCCUACGGGAGGCAGCAGUGGGGAAUAUUGCACAAUGGGGGAAACCCUGAUGCAGCGACGCCGCGUGAACGAAGAAGGUAUUCGUAUCGUAAAGUUCUGUCCUAUGGGAAGAUAAUGACAGUACCAUAGAAGAAAGCUCCGGCUAAAUACGUG
rnacentral:rRNA from 1 species